rnacentral:rRNA from 1 species
CCCUUAGAUGUUCUGGGCCGCACGCGUGCUACACUGAGUGGAUCAGCGGGUCAGGUUGCGCGAAAGCGUUUCCUAAUCUUUAAAUCCGCUCGUGAUGGGGAUUGACGGUUGCAAUUUUCUGUCAUGAACGAGGAAUACCUUGUAAGCGCGGGUCAUCAUCCCGCGCUGAAUACGUCCCUGCCCUUUGUACACACCGCCCGUCGCUACUACCGAUUGAAUGGUUUAGUGAGAUCUCUGGAUUGACGCUGGCUAGGGGGCGACCCUUGGCCAGACUGUUGAGAAACUGCUCAAACUUGAUCAUUUAGAGGAAGUAAAAGUCGUAACA